ensembl:lncRNA
GGAGAGUGUAUACGCAUGCACAGCUUUGCAGGCCCACCUGGCCAUAUGUGCGCGACAGAAUCUUUGCGUGUGAGCGAACACCAUUAGCCGGGCGAGUGUGAAUGCGGGCGUGUGGACGCGGGCCAGACACAGCGUGAACAGCUCAACGCAAAGCAGACCUUCAUCCCGUAACCCCCUACUACUGUAUAUCACCCGCCAUCAUAAAACCGGCGAUUGCAUCUAACUAGAAGCUUUAUGAGACUCUCAGUGGUCAAAACUGUGUCCGUCUCCCCCCAAGACUCUAAAAAUGGAGUGUGGGUGUAUGUAUUAAAGAAAGAGGAAACGUAUCUCCUAACAAGUGAUUCAAAUGUUGUUGUCCAGAUGCUUUUAGGGGAAAAUAAAGCGAAAUAUUUCCAGGUAAUUUGGGACUCACCAGGGACAACUGAUUUUGUGAUGCGAAAACACAUUUUCUUUCACCGUGUACUUUUCUGCAUUACUUUUCAAAUGAUUCUAAUUCUUUUGAGCUUAUUCAUCUUAUUUGUGGUUGUUUUCAAUGGUUUUCAGGGGUUUUGGACAGUUACUUACACAGCUCAACAUUACAUAACUGUAUUAAAUGCAGCCCCUGGGGACAGAAGAAGUAGGGGAGACACAUUUUGACUGCUCUACUUACGGGGCCAAUGCUGUAACCAAAAUAAAUUGCUUCCUUGUAGCAAUCCUGCAGUACUAAUGCGGGAUAGCUGCACGUAAGGCGGAAUUUCUACA